AUCCUUUUGUAGUUCAUAAGUGUCAUGAUUGGGUUUUCAUGUGCAUGUGUGAGACGUGUCUCCCUCAAACCUUGCUACAACAUUGACACAUUACUUGUCUAUCA